UUCAGAACGCCAAGUGGCACGCCAGGCGUCGCCGGGGCCGGGCAGCGUGCUGGCAGCAGGUCCCGGGUCGGUAAUGGUUCGCGGUGCUUCGCCUAACCUCGCCUAGCCUAGCCGGUCUCCGCAUAGUCCUCGCUGAGAGCGUGUCCGCGGUGUUUCCACCCGCCACCACGUCGCGGACGUCGCGGUCGUGCUGCGGGGGCGGCCUGUGCGUCGUGGUGGGCCUGGGCAUGCCGGGUGCCCUUCUAGGGACGCUGCGAGUCUUCGGCUAUGCGUCCUGCAGUCGGAUUUUCCACACCGCCGCCAACAAGUAGUGCAGGUGGCAACCGAUCCAGCGCCGCAAGGGACGUGACCAAGGUUCAAGCGUGAGUCUCAAUUGGAGCACGCAGGAAGCGUGCUUGCCGACCGGAGCUCCGCAGAGCUUGCUGCCCGUUCCCUGAGACCCUAAACUGUGACGUCAACAUUUAAAUAUCUCACAGGUUAGAUUCUCAGAAUCCUGCAUCAAUCUCUCACACAUCCUGGUUGGCCAUGUGGGCACCCUAUGCGCGUCUAUACCCUCGGCGCUGUGGUGGUAGGUAAGGAGUAUUGCCGGCAAAUAGCUGACAGACUGGGAGUAUUGCCAAGGAAAUAGGAAAGGUUCAUAAGCUUCAAGAAUAUUCUAUAUAAUUUCGAUAACAUAAAUAGAUUAGUACAACACUAUGAAACCAAAUUCAUUACUUGUACAGAAAACAAGUCAAGAAAAAGUUUAGGAACUAAAACAUUUAAUGUUCAAUAAUACAAUCCUCAAGACGAGCCGUAGACCGUGUUCAAUCCAAUUUCAUCAACGUUCUAAACCUUCAAGUGAGAUUCUGAAAAUUGACAAGCACAAGAAAGUUCAAGUGGAUUCAGACAAAUAAAAAAAAAAAAAA